rnacentral:rRNA from 1 species
AGCGAACGCUGGCGGCAUGCUUUACACAUGCAAGUCGAACGGUAACAGGGAGCUUGCUCCGCUGACGAGUGGCGAACGGGUGAGUAAUGCAUCGGAACGUACCCAGUCGUGGGGGAUAACGUAGCGAAAGUUACGCUAAUACCGCAUACGUCCUGAGGGAGAAAGCGGGGGACCGUAAGGCCUCGCGCGAUUGGAGCGGCCGAUGUCGGAUUAGCUAGUUGGUAGGGUAAAGGCCUACCAAGGCGACGAUCCGUAGCUGGUCUGAGAGGACGAUCAGCCACACUGGGACUGAGACACGGCCCAGACUCCUACGGGAGGCAGCAGUGGGGAAUAUUGGACAAUGGGGGAAACCCUGAUCCAGCAAUGCCGCGUGUGUGAAGAAGGCCUGCGGGUUGUAAAGCACUUUUGGACAGGGAAGAAAAGCACUGGCCUAAUACACCAGUGCGUUGACGUAACCUGCAGAAGAAGCACCGGCUAACGUCUGUGCCAGCAGCCG